rnacentral:lncRNA from 1 species
GUAACUACAGCCACCUCGCUGAAGUGGGCUGUCCUCUUCCCACUUACUAUUUCCAAAAUUAACACACCGAAGCUAAACACAUCUGACUUGAUUGAGCAAACCCCCUCAAAUGCAUACUCCGGAGCACCAUGGCUAUGGAAACCUGGAUGGUGGAGCAAGGCUGAUUGGUUUGAAUACUUGAAUGGUCAAGAGAAUGCAAAAUUCUUUAUGAAUGGAACCGUGCAGGGUAACGUACUUUUCUUGAGCACAUCCAGCAGUAGCAUCUUGGUAUCAGUGAAGAACUGUGUAUCCGUUUCAUACCUCAGUGUGCACCACACCCCAAGAAUGGCCGCUCCCAUCUGGGUAGUGCUAAUCUUGCUCUGCCUGCCUGAGAUGAUACCAUCCAGGCAGUUCAUGCAUUGCUCCGAUGGCAUGCCCUGCAUGCACUGCACUAGCCCAUACACCGUCUGUCCUGUCUCCUCAAACCUCUGUUUGCCUACUGCAUACCUCUCUGGUCGACUCACUGCAGCAUCAGUAAGUGCACGCAGCACCUUGGUGACAAGAUCCUCAAAUUGCUUAGCCACAGAAGCUGUCACAGCAUUCAGGUUAGUAUUCACAGUGCACUCCGGCACAUUUGUGAAGCUGGAGAUAAAAUCCUGGUUGGAGAAGUGUAUCCUGGCCUGGUCUUGGUUGUAAUAGUAGGUCACCUUCUUGGUCAUGGCCUUGGGAGAGUAAGAGUUGCUGUUUUUGCUGUUGAUGGCUGCAUCAAGGGCCUCAGUUAGGUGCUUGUGACAAUCGGAGCCAUCAGAAUCGCCUCGACAAGAAACUGCACCAUAGACUUUGUCCAGGCCUGUGCCGGCCAUGCCAGUAGCUGAGUGCAGCUCUGUGGCAUUAGCAAUGAGCGUUGCGGCAAGGGAGAUAAGGUUGGAUUUGUAGGUACUGUUUGGCAUGUAAAUGGCGCCAUUAUAGUCACUGCAGAGUUCCUGGCCGACAGAUGGUGCUGGGCAGGAGAUGAAGAGAACUAGGAGAGACAAUAGCAGCAUACUGCAGUAACUAGAGAGCAAUGGAAAAGCUUUGCUUGUGGAUCGUCAUGGAUGAGUUCCAAAUACCAUCUUGGUUUUUUCUACCAAGAGAGUUGUAGUUAGACUUUUCCUUGAAAUAGGAUUUGGCAGAUGGUGAUGUUUCAAGGAGGGAUAGCUCCAGAAACAGCGAUUAUUCGAUCUGGGAACCUGACAUUCACUUUCCUCCAUCAUCGGCUGUGGACUUCCUCUAUACAGGGGAUGUCAUCGCUGCUAAGCAUAGCAACAACAUCAGACAUGGUGGGGCGCUCCGCUGAUUUCUCUUGAACACACAUUAGUGCCACCACAAGACAUUUCAUCAUUUCUCCAGGUUCGUAUUCAUCACCAAAUGAUUGAUCAAUGAAAUCACACCAUCUUCCGUCUUUCCACAUUCCCCAUGCCUGAAAAAAAAAUAAUUGCUAAGUGUGAUGGUAGGAAUAUCCAUAUAUUUCUUCAGUUAUUGGAUACAAAUGCAAACUCAAAUUCAAUAAAUCAGAGCAAGGAAGGGAAAUUAUCCCUAUGAUUUAUGGAAAAGAAAACUGGAUAAUGAUCUACAACCACCCCUCAACAGUAAUAGAUAUGUGAGGAACAUUUUUUUUCUGCCAAUUCAAUUGCUUACAUAUUCAAGAAGAUUUUGAAAUUCUCCAUAGUGCUGAAAACCUGCACUCCUCGUUCCACUCAUAAUUUCAAGAAGCAGAACACCAAAACUGAAAACAUCUGAUUUGAUUGAGAUAAGGCCCUCAGAUGCAUAUUCAGGUGCCAUGUAGCCACUGACAAGAUGGCAUGCAGUAGAGUUAGAAAGCAAAUGUGUAGGUAGAAACUUUAGUAACUACUAGCAUUUCUAGUUUCUUGCUCUUACAAUGUUCCCACAAGUCUGCUUGCUUUUGCUCGAGAGGCAUCCGAUGGGAAUAUCCUUGCCAUCCCAAAAUCAGAAAUUUUAGGGUUUAACUCAGAGUCCAACAGAAUGUUGCUUGCUUUCAAGUCCCUAUGGAUGAUUCUUAGCCGUGAAUGCUUGUGAAGGUAUAGAAGCCCCUGGGCUAUUCCUUCAACUAUUUUUCUUCGUGUUUUCCAGUUUAGUGAUGUCCGUCUGAUAGGAUCUACAAGCAAUAUAAUGCAGGCUCAAGGUUUAAUACUUGUACUACACACGAGAAUAAAUGCAAUUUUUAUCAAUAGCUAGGGAGUAAAACAUGCCAAAAAUGAAGUGAUCCAAGCUUUUGUUGGGCAGAUAUUCGUAGAUCAGUAUCUUCUGUUCCUCAUGAACACAGCAACCGAGCAACCUAACAAGGUUUUUGUGCUGAAGUUUUGCUACAAGCUGGAUCUCAUUUUUGAACUCCACUAGACCUUGUCUUGACUGUGCACCAAGUUUUUUUAUUGCUAACUCUUGUCCAUCAGGAAACAGCCCCUGUAAAUUUCAUCAAUGAAAUCCUACAUACAUAUGAUGCCAUCAGAAUUAGAUGAUACUGUUACAAGAAAGUACCUUGUAAACUGGGCCAAAGCCACCCUCGCCUAAUAUGUUAUUGGCUGAGAAGUUGUCUGUAGCAUCAGCAAGCUGGGAAAAAUCAUACAAGGAGAACUCUGAACCAGAAUCUUCUAUCUUCCAAAGCCGCAUAACUUCAUCCAUGUCUGUGGUCUGCUCCAUCAAGUUUAUUUUCACUAGAUGCACAUCCUUCAUUAGUUCUUGCAUGUAACUGAAGAAACAGAAAAACAGGCGUGUGCAGAUGAUGGAAAGAGAGUAAACAGUAGCAAUGAUCAAGAUUGCAUGUCCCUUCUUUUGCCCUGAAUUUUGAAACAUAGAAUGGUUUACAUGUAGUGAAUGAAUCAGUUCUACAAUAUCAAAGACUUAGCUCCUGAAUUUUGCUAAGAUAGUGUGCCUUACGGUUGGAUUCAAGUGUUCGUUUCUUUCUUUUUGGCCAAAUUGAUCAGCUAAAUUGAAUCUUAAUUUGUACCAUACCGAAAGGAUUCAUCUUAAACUUUCAGUCAAUAUAUACAUGUAAAAUAUACAUAUUUGGCAAGCAGAGUAGCAUGCAGUCCUUUUUAUAUUUAGUAUGCAUUCAGCAGCCUGAAAGCAAAAUUGUUUUUUUAGAGGUUUAUCUAGCCAAUCCAUGGUCCAACUACUCUGAAGACAAAAACAGUAAAUAGAAUUCAAGGUAUA